GUCCCGAUGACGCAGAGGUUAGCGCAUCUGCCUAGUAAGCAGGAGACCCGGGUUCGAAUCCUGGUCUGGACU